GACGAACGCUGGCGGCGUGCUUAAUACAUGCAAGUCAACUGAACUUAGGAUGGCAAUAUUUUAAGGGAGGUGGCGCACGGGUGAGUAACACGUAGGUAAUCUGCCUUUAGGUCUGACAUAACCUACCGAAAGGUAGGCUAAAAUCAGAUGAUGCAGCGGCUCGACAUCGAGACAGUUGUUAAAUCUUCGGAGCCUAAAGAUGAGCCUGCGUCUGAUUAGGUAGUUGGCGGUGUAAUGGACCACCAAGCCUGCGAUCAGUAGCUGGUCUGAGAGGAUGAUCAGCCACACUGGAACUGAGACACGGUCCAGACUCCUACGGGAGGCAGCAGUAAGGAAUAUUGCUCAAUGGCCGAAAGGCUGAAGCAGCAACGCCGCGUGGAGGAUGAAAUACUUUUGUAUGUAAACUCCUGUAAGAAGGGAAAAUGUUCCGAUUCAUCGGAAUUGAUCGUACCUUCAGAGUAAGCCCCGGCUAACUACGUAGCCAG
rnacentral:rRNA from 1 species